GCGUCUGUAGCCUAGUUGGUAAAGGCAGCACUCUAGCAUGUGUCUCAGCAUAGCUGAGGUUGUGAGUUCGACUCUCACCAGACACA
rnacentral:tRNA from 1 species